GACGAACGCUGGCGGCGUGCCUAACACAUGCAAGUCGAACGGAGAAUUAGCAAUAAUUCUUAGUGGCGAACGGGUGAGUAACGCGUAGACAACCUACCCUUUAGAUGGGGACAACACCGCGAAAGUGGUGCUAAUACCGAAUAUUGCUUGAGAAGCGCAUGCUUUUCAAACUAAAGAUGGCCUCUAUUUAUAAGCUAUCGCUAAAGAAUGGGUCUGCGUCUGAUUAGCUAGUUGGUGAGAUAAAAGCUCACCAAGGCAACGAUCAGUAGCCGGUCUGAGAGGAUGAACGGCCACACUGGGACUGAGACACGGCCCAGACUCCUACGGGAGGCAGCAGUGGGGAAUCUUCCGCAAUGGACGAAAGUCUGACGGAGCAACGCCGCGUGAGUGAUGAAGGUUUUCGGAUCGUAAAACUCUGUUGUUAAGGACGAAUGUAUAGAUUGUGAAUAAUGGUUUAUAAUGACGGUACUUAACGAGGAAGCCACGGCUAACUACGUGCCAGCCGCCGCCGUAA
rnacentral:rRNA from 1 species